UGAGGCAGUCCUGGUGCAGGAGCAGGAUUAAGGCAGCUGUGCUGAAGGAGCCUCCCCGUCCCUGCAUGCCAGGUCUGGUGUGCCCUCCCCUUCACUAAUUCCAGCUGUGUGGUCCCAGAAGAGGUGAAGCAGGAGGGUUGCAUAAGGCUGGAUAAAGGUUUGAAUCAGCAGCUCCAGCACUGCGGGAAAAUGUCCUAAUGGCUUUGCUGCUGCACCAUGUUUAUGUAACGUGUGAGUAAGGAGGUUUUCUGGGCAGCUUGUUGAACAGCACUUCAUGGGAAGCAUUUAUAGCGGCUGUGAAAAGAAGUGCCAACAAGAUCACAGAGAUCUCCAGAUUACCUUCGUGUAAAACCGAGUGCCAGUGAGAGGAAGCUGGCAAAAGCAUCUGUGGGAUUAAUAGGAAUUCACUUACCUGUCACUGCCCUUUAUACAAAACCUCCAGCAUCUCCUCCUUCAUGCCACUGGCCAAUGGUACCAGCUUGCUUUUCAGCUACUCUCAUGCUGUUUGAACACGGAAAGCUGGGCAUACUCUGGAUACAGCCAAUGUAUCUCCUGCUAUAACUCUGUUGGAGUUGAGAUGAGCUACAGAAGCAAACAAUUUGGCCCAUAAUUUUUCUCACAAUCAGCAAUUUAAAAAAAUAAUCUCUGAAGGCAGUGGGUGUUUGAACAGUGCUCUCUCUGCUCAUGCUGAUGCUUUCCCUUAUGCUCCAUCCUGAACCAAGCCGUGUGUGCUGUUUGAAGCCUUGGCAGUAGUACAGCCUGGACACAGAGUGGCCCUCCACCUUGUCAAAGCACCCAGACCAUGCUUCUGCUCAGCUAGGCUCAGGCUAGACUACAACAGGAGUAAAUCCCUCCCAGCCUGCCUUCUCACUUCCCCAGACAACUGACAUUUGAAAGAAAAUCCAUCCAAAGUCUCUUCU